GAUUUCGUGGCGCAAACGGUAGCGCGCCUGACCCCAGAUCAGGAGGUUGCGUGUUCAAUCACGUUGAGAUCA
rnacentral:tRNA from 1 species